AGAACGAACGCUGGCGGCAGGCCUAACACAUGCAAGUCGAACGCUCCAGCAAUGGAGAGUGGCAGACGGGUGAGUAACGCGUGGGAACCUACCAUACGGUCGGGAAUAGCUCAGGGAAACUUGGGGUAAUACCGGAUACGCCCUUCGGGGGAAAGAUUUAUCGCCGUUUGAUGGGCCCGCGUCGGAUUAGCUAGUUGGUGGGUAACGGCCUACCAAGGCAACGAUCCGUAGCUGGUCUGAGAGGAUGAUCAGCCACACUGGGACUGAGACACGGCCCAGACUCCUACGGGAGGCAGCAGUGGGGAAUAUUGGACAAUGGGCGCAAGCCUGAUCCAGCCAUGCCGCGUGAGUGACGAAGGUCUUCGGAUUGUAAAACUCUUUUGGCGGGGACGAUAAUGACGGUACCGCAGAAUAAGCCCCGGCUAACUUCGUGCCAGCAGCCGC
rnacentral:rRNA from 1 species